rnacentral:rRNA from 14 species
AUCGGGCGACUGUAUAGCAAAUACACAGGGUUUAGUUAAAGAUGUUUAUAUUUUAGAGCUGAUAUGUGACCAGUAUUUAUAGGCUCAUCGAUGCCUCUACAAACGUUGGCCGUAACUAUAACGGUCCCAAGGUAGCAAAUUUCCUUGUCGUUUAAGUAACGACCUGCAUGAAGGAUGGAACGAUUCGAUAGCUGUCUUGCGUACAUGUGCUGGUGAAAUAUUAGGGAGUGUGAAGAUACGGUAACAACGUUAUGGGACAAAAAGACCCUGUGAAGCUUUAUAGGGAUAUAAUUUAGUACAGGUUCUAUAUUGGUAUAUCUUCAUUUCAAGGUAAAACAGUGAGAUACCAUUCAUUGAGAAUACGAUUAGCUAAUAUAACAAGCCCACUCUACCUCAGACUGAAAUAGAUACCCGUGUGAUAUUUUUUGAAACCACCACCCGUACCCUUUAGUUAAUGUUGUGAAUAAUGUUAGAUGGGCUGUUUCAUUGGGGAGAUGACCUUCUUGAAUCGAACUAAAGGUUCACUAAGCUAUUGAUGUGGGCUUUGAUAAAGGACUAGUAAGUGCAAAGAUAGAUGUGUGGCUUAAUGGUAAAGCGUUUAAUCCAGUAUUUAAAUGGUGUCUUAGUGACCUUCAAAUGAAUUUAUCAGAUAAAAGCUACUCUAAGGAUAACAGGCUUCAUUUAUUGGAUAGCUCACAUUAACAAAAUGGUUUUGCACCUCGAUGUCGGCUUAUCUUUUCCAAAUGGAAAGCAAUCAAUCUGGAGUGGGAGUGCUCAUCCCAUAACAAGGUACGUGAGCUGGGUUCAGAACGAUGUAAAUCAGUUUGGUCUAUAUCUGUAACUUUAUAAAAUGGGAGUGUUGUUUGCUCAGUACGCAAGGACCGGCAAC